AUCUUCUUCGUCUAGUGGUAAGGACACUUCUCUUUCACAGAAGAAACAUGAGUUCAAUUCUCAUAGAAGAUA
rnacentral:tRNA from 1 species